UACGUAGGGACCAAGCGUUGUUCGGAAUUACUGGGCGUAAAGGGCUCGUAGGCGGCCCUCUCAGUCGGAUGUGAAAUCCCCAGGCUUAACCUGGGAACGGCAUCCGAUACUGGAGGGCUUGAAUUCGGGAGAGGGAUGCAGAAUUCCAGGUGUAGCGGUGAAAUGCGUAGAUAUCUGGAGGAAUACCGGUGGCGAAGGCGGCAUCCUGGACCGAGAUUGACGCUGAGGAGCGAAAGCUAGGGGAGCAAACGGG
rnacentral:rRNA from 1 species